rnacentral:rRNA from 1 species
GACAGAGGUUGCAAACGUUGUUCGGAAUCACUGGGCAUAAAGCGCACGUAGGCGGUCUGUUAAGUCAGGUGUGAAAAGCCCCCCGGCUCAACCGGGGAACAGCAUCUGAUACUGGCAGACUCGAGGAUGGUAGGGGUGAGUGGAACUCCAGGUGGAGCGGUGAAAUGCGUAGAGAUCUGGAGGAACACCGAUGGCGAAGGCAGCCCCCUGGGCUAACACUGACGCUCAUGCACGAAAGCGUGGGGAGCAAACAGG